UAUUGCUGCCACCUGUAGAGAGUUGAGUGCUGAUUAUUCUUGUUAUAUGAGACAAGCUUUAUAUAAGAUAUGAUUUGAAAAGUUGAAUACAAGCUCCUUAAGAGUAGGGGCUAAGAAAAACCAAAACAAAGAUAAUAUCAGCAUAGAAGACGCUGCAUGGGGUUGUACUUCAAAUAGUUGCUGGUUUGGUCACUUUCCUAAUUUACAGAAUCACAAUGUAGUGUCUCCAAUCCGAUCGUCAAAGCUCACAAAUGAAUAUCUUGACCUGCAAUUAUUCACUUCUGAAAACUGCCAAACUGAUAGUUUUGUGUGUUGAGACUUGAAAAUAUGUCAUCUCCAGCUGUUGGUGCUGAUGGAAAACCAGAUUUGCCAUACCCAAUUCCUUGACCCAUUGCUUUGCUACUGUAAAAAGAAGUUGGCCCUUUUUCUCUCUCAUCUGAUCCGUCAGUCAAUCCUCCCACUACGCCAACAUCUGCAAGGUUAACCUUUUUGGGUGCACUUAUAUUCAGAUCAAUCAGCCCACGGCUCAAUGAAUCAGCCCAUAUUCCAGACCUGACUUGAAAUGUGUUCUUUGCUGGUGUUUUAGCUUCAACAGACAAUUUGCUUACUUUGUCACGAGCAUCAUGAUUCCCGCCAUUGCUAGUAUUUUCAUCGGGGAAAGGUACAGGUUUAUGAGAAACAAAUGAACCAAAAGGGUCAGAGUUAUCAAAAGUAUUUAGUGGAACUGAAGCAAAUGGAUCAACAAUGUUGAUAUUCAUUUGGUCUGAUUUUGAGGAUUUGUUAUCAGACUGUAUAACAGGAUCCGGUGCAGCGAAGAAAUCUAUUGUUGAAGCUGCACCUGAAGGGGCAGGCUGGGAGGCAAACAGAUCCACACCCAUUGGAGUUUGGGAAGUUACACCCAUUUCAGUUUCAGGUUUUGCUGAUACAAAGGUGGCAUCAGCAAAUAAAUCAACCUCUGAUGGAUUAGUGUUCACUGUAGAUGUAGCAGUUGGAGCAGGUGUUGGUACAUCCAAGAGGUCACCGAGCAAAUCUUGCCCAAAUAGAUCUACUUGGUUAGAACUUCCUGCAGAAGGCUUAGAACUUGAAGUACCCCGAGGAUCAAAAUCGUCAAAAUCUUCCUCGUAAUUGGUUGAUGGUACAGUUGAGCUCUGUGAAGAAGAUUUUUCAGGCUCACCUACCUUCUUAAUCAUCUUUGAUCCACUAGCAGAAACAGUAUCUUGAACUUUGCUGCCAUAGCGAGAGGAUCCCUUCUUUGGCUUAAAAGUACUUUGAUCGACCUUAUCUUCAUCAUAUCGAUCCUUUUCAUUAUAACUAUCCUUAAAUGAAUCACCAUCGCUUUUAUUUCCAAAACCUCCAUACCGUUCACUACUCUGUAAGCCGCUUCUGCUGCUACUAAAAGAGGCAGAGCUUGCCUUAUAUGUUAUUCCGGAAGAUGAUAGUCCAACGUACUUCUCACGAUUUGCAGUAGCUUUACUCCUAACCUCUUGUAUCUUCUCUUUGUUAUUUAAUAAUGCCACAACAUUUUCCGCCUUCUUCCUCACAUUAAUUCCCACAUCCUUACCAUUUGGCUCAACAUACUCGAAAGUUGUGAGAGAAGAGAUCUGAUAGGUAUGUUCUAUGAUGUCAUCAAUUGCACGUUCAGCUCCAUGCGCCACCAAGUACUCUAUAACAGCCAAUGACUUAUAGACAUAUCGCCAGUUCUUUCCAGUUUCAGUCAAUCUUGUCCAGAGCACAUUCAUGACCAUCUGACACUCGGAGAAUUUUUUUGUAGCCUGUGCUAUCUCAGCCAAAGCAGUACCAUGAGGGCCCCAGGGCUCAUCAUCAGUAGCAUCCAAUACCUUCUGCUCGAUCUCAGGGACUUUCAAUACUUUCAAAUUCACCUCCCUCUUUAUUUCGCGAACCGUUUGAUCGAAGACCUUCAUGAAAUCCAUGGCUGAAUCUACCCAAUAAGCGAAACCUGAUUCAAAAUUCUGGAAAAAGAUAUAGAGAUCUGAAACUGAAAGGAAAAAAGGAUGAGAUCUCUUCAAAAAGUAUAAAGCCGAUGAGAUCUCUCUCAACUCUUGCUUUG
rnacentral:misc_RNA from 1 species